rnacentral:rRNA from 1 species
CCCUUAGAUGUUCUGGGCCGCACGCGCGCUACACUGAUGCAUUCAACGAGUCUAAAACCUGCUCUGAUAGGGGUGGGUAAUCUUUUGAAUGUGCAUCGUGAUUGGGAUAGAUGAUUGCAAUUUUUCAUCUUCAACGAGGAAUGCCUAGUAAACGCAAGUCAUCAGCUUGCAUUGAUUACGUCCCUGCCCUUUGUACACACCGCCCGUCGCUCCUACCGAUUGAAUGAUCCGAUGAAUAUCAUGGAUUGAGGAUGCAAGCAGGUUCGCCUGUCUUCAUCUUCGAGAAGUGAAGUAAAUCUUAUCAUUUAGAGGAAGGAGAAGCCGUAACA